GCCUUCGUGGUGUUGUGGUCAGCACGUUCAACGUGCAUUCGAGAGGUCCGAGGUUCAAGUCCCGGCGAGGGCA
rnacentral:tRNA from 1 species